AGAGCGAACGCUGGCGGCAGGCCUAACACAUGCAAGUCGAGCGCCCGUAGCAAUACGGGAGCGGCAGACGGGAUAGUAACACGUGGGAACGCGCCCUUCGGUUCGGAAUAACUCAGGGAAACUUGAGCUAAUACCGGAUACGCCCUUACGGGGAAAGAUUUAUUGCCGAAGGAACGGCCCGCGUCCGAUUAGCUAGUUGGUGAGGUAAUGGCUCACCAAGGCGACGAUCGGUAGCUGGUCUGAGAGGAUGACCAGCAUCACUGGGACUGAGACACGGCCCAGACUCCUACGGGAGGCAGCAGUGGGGAAUAUUGGACAAUGGGCGCAAGCCUGAUCCAGCCAUGCCGCGUGGAUGAUGAAGGCCUUAGGGUUGUAAAGUCCUUUAACGGGGAAGAUAAUGACGGUACCGUAGAAUAAGCCCGGCUAACUUCGUGCCAGCAGCCGC
rnacentral:rRNA from 1 species